AAUGAACGUUGGCGGCGUGGAUUAGGCAUGCAAGUCGUACGGGUCGGUGUAGCAAUACAACGGCAAGUGGCGAAAGGGAGAGUAACACGUAGAUACCUACCCUCUGGUCGGGGAUACCGCGGCAUAACCGCAAGUAAUACCCGAUAAAAUCUCCGGAUCAAAGGUGUGAUUCCGCCGGAGGAGGGGUCUGCGUUCUAUCAGCUUGUUGGUGAGGUAAUGGCUCACCAAGGCUAAGACGGAUACGGGGUGUGAGAGCAUGCCCCCGCUCACUGGGACUGAGACACUGCCCAGACACCUACGGGUGGCUGCAGUCGAGAAUCUUCGGCAAUGGGCGCAAGCCUGACCGAGCGACGCCGCGUGCGGGAUGAAGGCCUUCGGGUUGUAAACCGCUGUCGAGGGGAAUGAAGUGUAGGUGGGUACUCUCAUCAAUUUGACAGAUCCCUGGAGGAAGCAUGGGCUAAGUUCGUGCCAGCCGCCGCAGUAAAAC
rnacentral:rRNA from 1 species